AUGGAGGAGUACCAGGGGCAGCACGGUCACGCCGUCGACGAGUACGGCGACCCCGUGGCCGGGCACGGCAACCCUGUGGCACCCUCCGCCGCCGGCGCGUUCACGGGCGCCGGCGGGCAGCUCCAGCACGGCAGGGAGGAGCACAAGACCGGCGGGAUACUGCACCGCUCCGGCAGCUCCAGCUCCAGCUCGUCUUCUGAGGACGACGGCAUGGGCGGGAGGAGGAAGAAGGGCGUCAAGGAGAAGCUCCCGGGUGGCCACAAAGACAACCAGCAGCACAUGGCCGCGGGAACUGGAGCUGGCGGGGCUUAUGGGCAGCACACGGCCGCGGGAACUGGGGCCGGCGGAGACUACGGCCAGCAUGGGCACGCAGGAAUGGCCGGCGCCGGCGCCGGCGAGAAGAAGGGACUCGUGGACAAGAUCAAGGAGAAGCUGCCCGGACAGCACUGA
rnacentral:rRNA from 1 species